rnacentral:rRNA from 1 species
GACGAACGCUGGCGGCGUGCUUAACACAUGCAAGUCGAACGGUGAAGCACCUUCCUUUUGGUGGGUGUGGAUGAGUGGCGCACGGGUGAGUAACACGUGAGUAACCUGCCCCCUUCUUCUGGAUAACCGCAUGAAAGUGUGGCUAAUACGGGAUAUUCUGGGUCUGUCGCAUGGCGGGCCUGGGCAAGAUAUUGUUUCUGUGGGGGAUGGGCUCGCGGUCUAUCAGGUUGUUGGUGGGGUGAUGGCCUACCAAGGCGGUGAGGGGUAGCCGGCCGGAGAGGGUGGACGGCCAUAGUGCGACUGAGAGACGGCGCAGACUACGGCAGGAGGCAGUGGGGAGGAUUAUUGAACAAUGGGAGGACUCCUGCUGCCGCGCCGCGGCGUGAGGGAUGGAGGCCGGCGGGUUGUAACCCUUUUUCGCGAGUGAAGCAGGCCUGUCUCUUUUGUCGGUGGGUUGACGGUAGCUGGAGAAGAAGCGCCGGCUAACUACGUG